rnacentral:rRNA from 1 species
GAUGAACGCUAGCGGCAGGCUUAAUACAUGCAAGUCGAGGGGCAGCACAGGUAGCAAUACUGGGUGGCGACCGGCAAACGGGUGCGGAACACGUACACAACUUACCUUUGAGUGGGGGAUAGCCCAGGGAAACUUGGAUUAAUACCCCAUAAAACAGGGGGCCCGCAUGGGCAUAUUGUUAAAGAUUUAUCGCUUUAAGAUGGGUGUGCGUAUGAUUAGGUAGUUGGUAGGGUAAAGGCCUACCAAGCCGACUAUCAUUAACUGGUGUGAGCGCACGACCAGUCGCACGGGCACUGGGACACGGUCCCGACUCCUACGGGAGGCAGCAGUAAGGAAUAUUGGUCAAUGGACGGAAGUCUGAACCAGCCAUGCCGCGUGAAGGAUGAAGGUCCUCUGGAUUGUAAACUUCUUUUAUAGGGGGCGAAAAAGGGCCUUUUUAGGUCAACUGACGGUACCCCAUGAAUAAGCACCGGCUAACUCCGUGCCAGCCGCCGCCGUAA